GGAGAUGUGCCUGAGCGGCCGAAAGGGGCUCCCUGCUAAGGAGUUAAACCAGUAAUGGUUUCGGAGGUUCGAAUCCUCUCAUCUCCG
rnacentral:tRNA from 1 species